UGUUAAAAAUUUCAUUUAUUUGUACUGUUAAAAAUUGGCCUGAUUGACGAAAUAACCAGACAAUGGCAUGUGGUAUAUCACAUGUAUCUCAUGCUGACAUACAUGGACCAAUUUUUUAUAGUAGAAAUAGAAAUUUUUUUUAACA
rnacentral:pre_miRNA from 1 species